AAGUCAGCGGCGGACGGGUGAGUAACACGUGGGCAACCUGCCCUGCAGAUUGGGAUAACUCCGGGAAACCGGGGCUAAUACCGAAUAACAUUGGAAAUCUCAUGGUUUCCUUUUAAAAGGCGGCUUCGGCUGUCACUGCAGGAUGGGCCCGCGGCGCAUUAGCUAGUUGGUGAGGUAACGGCUCACCAAGGCGACGAUGCGUAGCCGACCUGAGAGGGUGAUCGGCCACACUGGGACUGAGACACGGCCCAGACUCCUACGGGAGGCAGCAGUAGGGAAUCUUCCGCAAUGGACGAAAGUCUGACGGAGCAACGCCGCGUGAGUGAAGAAGGUUUUCGGAUCGUAAAACUCUGUUGUCAGGGAAGAACAAGUACGGUAGUAACUGCCCGUACCUUGACGGUACCUGGCCAGAAAGCCACGGCUAACUACGUGCCAGCAGCCGCGGUAAUACGUAGGUGGCAAGCGUUGUCCGGAAUUAUUGGGCGUAAAGCGCGCGCAGGCGGCCUUUUAAGUCUGAUGUGAAAGCCCCCGGCUCAACCGGGGAGGGUCAUUGGAAACUGGAAGGCUUGAGUGCAGAAGAGAAGAGCGGAAUUCCACGUGUAGCGGUGANAUGCGUAGAGAUGUGGAGGAACACCAGUGGCGAAGGCGGCUCUUUGGUCUGUA
rnacentral:rRNA from 1 species